rnacentral:rRNA from 1 species
CCGGUCUGAACUCAGAUCACGUAAGAAGUAUUUGGGCGAACAGACCAUUUCUCAUAAAUUUUUCUUUAUGAGUUAUUCUUAAUCCAACAUCGAGGUCGUAAUUUAUUUUGUGAAUGGGGUCUUCUCAAAAAUUUUACGCUGUUAUCCCUUAGGUAAUUUAUUUUAUUUCAUAUUUGGAUAAUUUAAUUUGAUUUUUAUCAUUUUGAUUUAUCUAAAGAUAUAAUUAUUUAAAAAUCUCCCCAAUUUAACAACCAGGAUCAUUUUAGUUGAUUAAGGUUGUAAAAUUCUAAAGGGUCCUCUUGUCUUUUGAUAUUAUUUAAGAUUUUUCACUUAAAUAUUAAUUUUUACUAUUUUAUCUUAAAAAGUUUGUUUCACAUGCUUUCUUUCAUUCAAGCUUUCAAUUAUAAAGCAAUUUAUUAUGCUACCUUAGUACAGUUAAUUUACUGCAGCUAUUUAACAUUUUCAUUGAGCAGAACUUAUCUAAAAUCUUUUUCUUUAAACUAUGUUUUUGUUAAACAGGCG